rnacentral:misc_RNA from 1 species
UUUGAUUUUUUUUGCCUGAUUUUUGAUAUCAAGACAUGGGUUCGAACGGGUUAGCUACCUCUAUUGAGAUGUUUAGAAAGGGUACGUCAUUUACGGACUGGUCCGAUCGAUUGGCCUAUACCUUUCACGCAAAUCAAGUUGCGGCUGAUCGCCAAAAAUCGCAUUUCAUGACGAUUUGCGGACCGUUUCUUUUUUCUCAAUUAAAGCUGCACUACAGCAAAGAUGAGCUGGAUAAAGCCACUUAUGCUGAUAUUGUGUUAAAAUUGAAACAAAAAUUGGACAAAACGGAGCCGGACUUAGUACAACGCUUUCGUUUUAGUCAGCGAAACCAGCAACCUGAUGAAUCCAAUGAGGAUUUCGUGCAGGCGGUCAAGAUGCAGGCGGAAUUCUGUGGUUUUGGGGCGUUUAAGGACGUGGCCAUUAUGGACAGGGUCCUGGCGGGUCUUCUUGACGGGAAUCUCAAAGAGAAUUUGCUGAAGGAGGAAGGUUUGACUUUGGACAAGAUGGACAAGUUCAUCACAACAUGGAACAUAGCAAAACAAAACGUUAAAGCGUUAAACAAUCAACCUGGAGGAUCUCAAUUGGGACAGUACAGUUACUUUACACCAGAACAGAUUCAUUACAUUCAAAAGACAACAACACAAAGACAAGGGUCUUCACGGUACGGAAAUUACAGACAAAAUGAUGGGUUGCAAGGGCAAAAUUUUCCAGAAAGGCGAAACAAUUCCAGAUUUCAGCCUUAUAAAAACUACAAUUCUGAUUCUCAAGUUUACACUAACCGAAGGUUCAAUAACCAAACACAACAACAAAGGUAUUUUGACAAAAGCUAUGAUAGGAGAUAUCCUCAGACUAGAAUUUCGUGUGAUUUUUGUGGGAAAAUGGGUCAUUCUAAGCAAAAUUGCUUCAAACUUGAUUACUUUAACAGACAAUUUGUGAAUUUCAUGGGUGAGAGUACUGCAGAUGAUUAUUCCUGCAAUGAAGGUGGUGAAAUUGAGUACGCAAAUGCGGAAAUGUUCAACCAAAUAGAAAACUUUCAAGAUAAUAACGACCAAUGCAUGAAAAUUUUUACUGUUUUGAACACAACAUAUGUUAAGCUGGAUGAAACACAAAUAGAGGACCAAAUGGUUGAUUUUGAAGUUGAUGAUAGUUGCUUGUUGAAUGACAGCAAAUUUUCUAUACCAAUUGAUGAUGAUAGUUAUGCUGACUUUGAAUUGAAAAGUUUGUUUACCCCGAAUUGGGAGGAUGAUUCGAUUUUGGAUUUGAACGAUUUGUUUGAUAAAACUUGUUAUAAUAUUGAUGAAAAUUGUGAUAAGGCCCUGAAUUGGGAUGAUAAUUUGUUUUGUGGUUUUGGAUUUUUACAUGAUGAGAACAUGGAAGGUGGUGAACAAGGUGGUGAAUGCGAGAAUGUAGGUUUUAAUGAACUUUUAGCAGAUGUCAGCGUGAGUUUUGAAGGUGCCCCAAAUUGGGAAGAAAAUGUUGUGUGUGGUUUGAAUAAUUUAUUUUUGUAUGAAGAUGUUUUGGAUAUAAAACAAGAUGUGAUGUUGGAAAAUAACGAGGGUUCGAUUGAACAUAAUUUUGAUAUCAAAAGGAAUAUUUCAAGCAAUGCGUUAGCAGCAAAUUUAUAUUAUACCUCAAAUUGGGAAGACAGUGACAAUUUUGAUUUGGAAUGUUUAUUUACCACUAAUGUUAACUCAAAUCAAGCAAAUCUUGAUAACUGUGAAAGUUCGGACAAAAAGCUGCUGAUUGGCAAUGAUGGUUGUGGAAUUGAGUGUUGUAUUGAUGAUGUUCAGAAUUUGAUUUUAACCCCAAUUUGGGGAAUGUUUCAAGAAAGUUCGGAAAGUGUUUGUUUUGAAAAAGUAUUAUUUGACGAAGUUUCUGAGAUGUCAGGGCGAAAGGGUAGUAGUUUGAGUUUAAAGCUAUGUAAAUCUAAUUUGAAAAACGAGUAUGAUAUGCAAAACAUUGAAUUGAUGAUAAUAUUUUUGAUUAUGAUUGCUAUAAUUGUUUGCCAAAAUGGGUUUAAAGCUAUACAAAAUUCGUUGUUUCUGUACGAACUGAUGACUGAAAUUUUGACGAGCAUUGCAAAUUUGCAAUUUAUUUUGAUUUUGAGUAAAGGAUGUGCUAAAAAGUUAGACAAUCGCUUUGUUGACGAUUUUUGUGGUCGGCAUGAUCAAAAAUUUGUGGACGAUUGCUGGUUGUUAAAUGACAAAGUUGGCAAACCGCUAUAUUUACAAAGCGGGAAGUUGAAAUGUUUACAAGUCAUCUAUGCCAAAUCAUUAAAUCUGUUUUUGGAAAGUCAUAUUUGGUACACAAUUGAGAAACAACAAGUGUUGGACAGGAAUCUUAUUAAAAGCAUCAAACCAAAGCUGUUGGUUUGUUUGCUUGAAUGUAAUUGUUUGCUGGACAGUUUGGCAAUAGUCAUUGUGUUAUUAAUAUUUUUGAGAUUAGUUUUCUCAAUUUGUUUGCUAAGAAACCUUAUUCGCGGGCUGACGAAAGUGACGAAUGGAGAAUUCCAUAAUAUUAGUUUGUUGGUCAUUUGUUCAAUUCAGUUUAUUAAUUUUAUUCAAGACGAUGAUUGUCUGUCAUGGAAAUUUAGUUUAAUUUCAAAUAGUUGUGUGUGCAAUGGUACAUUGAAUGAAAAGCAAAUUAUAAACAAGUUAAACUAUAGCAUACCUAAAACUAAAACUUUUCAAGAGAAGUGUUUGACAGAUGAUCAGAUAGUAGAUGUGGAAACUCAAUGGUUUCAAUGGAAACUUUUUGAAAGGGUGGUGAAUGAGGUAGUCUCUUUAACUUGGGACAUACUUAGCAUAUAUUUUCAUAAAAUAGAUCAAAAUAUCUUGAUUCCAUGCAUUGUUUGCAUUAGUUCUCAAUCGAAAAUCCACAAUAGUGAUGAACUACUUGUUGUUUCAAGGUCUAUUGGCUUUGUUCAUAGGCUGAUAUGCUGGAUUUCUGUCCUGAGUUUUAGAGUUGUUUUUACAGUUUUCAUUAUAAAUGUCCUAAAACAAUUUUAUUUGUAUUUUAAACAGAUACUCGUACAACACGGUUCCCAGUGGAGCGAGGACAAGAAAACGCGAUGGCGCCUAGUAGCACGAAUCGUCGUGUUGUGGACUCGAAGGAGAUGUGCUGUUCGUGGUGACUGGCAAUCAAAGAAGUUGCUGGUGGAGUGCAGCAAACGAAAUGACCUUCUACUGAAGACGAAAUGCGAAACAACAUGGAGAUUUCGAACGAGGACACGGGUGGUGCUGGAUGCGGCAGAAACCGUCCGUUUAGGGAUGUCUCUGAACGGAAAGGAACAAAACGUAAAAAACGUAAAAGGAAUACUUCUAACAGUGAAAUUAUCUGCGGUGAAGACUUUUUUACAAUUCCUGAACACUAAUUUCUUUCGAAUUAGAACAAAACGUUGAAUUAGAUUUUUGUUUGAUACUUAACUUUGCUUUAUAUAAAUUACAUUGUUAUCAUUUCAUUAAUGAGUUCGUUAACUUUAGUUUUAAGUAAAGGGGGAGGACUGUUGAGUACCCCUCGUCUGAGUGCCUAGUCAAAUGACAGCACAAAUACAUUCAACGCACAUGAUGUAACAUACCUUAAAUAAACCGAGCUUGCGCUCGAGUCGGUCUCUUUCAACGCUGAAACUCUAACUGAUAACAGCUCGUCUUUUCCUGCUCCGCAAAUCACAACUUUAACGUCUUUCCCCGGUUAUAUUAGCUUGUAAAGCACCAGAUUUGAUAAACCCGGUCAGCCACUUUCGCACCGAAUCCGAUGACUCAAACUGCCUGGCUUUGCAGGAGCUAAUAUGGAGGCACUUUCUCACUGGUCGUUGAUAUACGAAAUAAAGAGAAGCGGUCCCAGCACACUGCCUUGAGGAAGCCCAAGAUCUACUGCCGUGACUGAUGAUGUAGAACCGUUGUAACGAGCCACAUGCGGUCUGCUGUCCUAGUAGCUGCUACACCAUUUGAGAGCUGAACCGCGUACACCAUAGCGACGCAGUACUGUUCUUUCAGUUUGGAUCGGUCAAUGGUCUCGAAUGCUCGCUUCAGGUCUACAAACACCGACAGGACUAUUGUCCUGCUACUUUACUAUUGUUUC